AUCUAAUCCUCAUUGGACUUCUAGAUUAAUUAAUUGAUUAACCUGAGUUUUACAGUUAUUCAAGAUAUCUUGAUCCAACUCAAAAUCUUCACUGUUCGCCGAGCAUAUCGCACUACCAUAUCAAAUAUCUGUCUGUUUGAUUUUGGCAACUGAAAAACUUUUCAGGCCAACAGCGCAAUCAGUUUGUGUGGCGCCCAACGAUUAAAAUGCGUUUAAUUAAAUGCGAUUGAGGGCGGGGCGCCAAUUUGUAUGGAACUUUUCGGCGAAAACUUUUGGAAAUUGCGCCAAAUUUGGCCCAACUAAAUAUUAUUGGAUUUAAAUCAAAUCAAAGUAGUUUGAAUUUGAAUUUGAUGCGAGCGAGCGCAGACAGGUGGGCGGCCAAUUUGGAACAUUGUGAACUUUGUGUAACAUUCACAGCUACCACUUGACAUUUCGACGGGCAAAGGUAAAUUGCAAUCAUGCAAAGCUGCUGUCGAAC